UAAAUGACACUACAUUCUCAAUAAUAAUUAAGAUAGUAGAACAAUAACAAGAGUUUAAAGAGAUGACUAGUUCACUGCGUAGCUUUCACAUCAACAUUGGAAUCAGGAGGUCGCUCACCACCUGCCAAAAAUAAAAUGAUAAUUACAACUAAGAAAAGCAGAGCAGGACAGACACAAAAUAAAUUUAAAGCAUCAAUUUUCUCAUCAUUUGUCUGUAUAUAAAACAAUUUGGAAGUUCCAACCUGCACAAAGCAAACACCUUGAAGGCUUGACCAGAAAAUGCAGACCUUGCGAUCGAGAUAGACAAGUUGCAACGACAAGGGAGUUGAAUGUUUUAGGUAUAACAUUAUUUCGAUGUGAAACAAGACUUAUGUCCUACUAACGAAUUUUCCAAAGGAACCUAAAUAUACUACGAGAAAACAGACUUUUAGUUAUGACCCACGAAGUCGCCACAAAAUCAAGGGUUUUUCGUGGCGAUAUAUAGUUGCAUGACAAGUAAAGAUUUUAGACCUGAAAAGUCGCCACAUGUAAUCGAGACUAUAGGCUAAAUUUUUGUCCACUGAAAAUGAAAUAUUUUGAAAUAUUAGGCAUGGAAAAUUUUCGUGGUGACCUGCUGAAAGCCACCACAGAUAGGCAAUUGGGGUGACCUAGUCCCUUCGUUUGGUCCUUGUUUCCAGUUAAGCUGGAAUCGUUUCACUAAUGCAAGAAGCUCUUGCAAUGAAUCAUGCACUCUUUGAGAAAUUUAUAACAUCAGAUUGCCUAGGUUAGAAAACCACGAAAACUGAAUGAGUUCAAAAUCAUUUUUGGAAGAAAAGAGAAAAUGAGAUGGGAAGAGAAAAGCUACACAUUCUCUUAGUUCUACUCUUAAAUGAAUUGUUUCUUUUCUUCAGUAGUAAAGAACCUUGGCAUCAUCAAGAAGGAAAAAAAAGAAAGUAGAGAUCUUUCAUUUGGUUCCAGGAGGGUAUAAUCAUGAUGAAAAUGAAAAAAAUAGUUUAUGGCAAGGACAACCUCAAACUCAUAAUAAAAUGAGAAAUUUCAGGCAAAAGACAAAUAGAAAUACAUAUAUUUAUAGCAAAGAUAGGGAAAUGUUAUGAGGAAAGAGUUUUUUAAAAAAAAGGCAGACCGAUACACAAAGUAUCCCGCAUUCACGUAGGAUCCAGGGAAGAGUCGUAUCCCAUGGGGUGUGAUGUAGAUAGCCUACCCUAAUGCAAGCAUUAGUGGCUGCUUCCACGGCUCGGACCGUGAUGUACAGGUCACACGGAGAUAACUUUACCAUUGCUCCAAGGUUCCCCUUCAAUUUAUGAGGAAAGUGUGUUCCUAAAAAUUGUUGUUCAUGGGAGACUUGUCAUGUUUCUACCUGAACAACAUCAAAAUUGCCGUUAAAAGGGAUUUUCUAAUUCAUUUCUUAACACAACAAAAAAUGACAACAAAGAAUAACACAUAUCACAACAGCAUUGAUCAGUGUAAUCAUGUGAAUUCUCUCAUAAACAAGAAUAUUCGCAAUGGCCAUUAUAGUUAUGGUAAAGUGAAAAAUGUAGAUACAAUUCUUAAGUACUAAAUUCCCCAGAUCAAUUUGACCAUAAUGUGAAGAAAGAGAGUAAGUCUAAGUCUAUAAGAUCCUCGAAAUCUUUACGGUUCUUUUUUUGUGUAUAUACUAUGAAGUGUUGUGUACUCUAUAUCAUGACUUUUAUCAAUGAAAAGUUCAUAAAAGACUUAUUGAGAAAUGUCUGCAAAUUGGUGAUGGUCGCUGGUAUAUUGUUGGGCAAACUAAUAGAAACAUACAGUUGAUAUAAAUUAAUUAAAAUGAAAUUGGUAUUUGGGGCAACCACACUCGCCACCAAAUGUAUGCUACAAUAAACCAACAAAUACCCGUGACGACAUAUGAUCGCUGCUACAGAGGUUUAUUUGUGGCGACUAGGGCUGCCACUGAAAAGGAAUGUUCUUUGUGGCGACCAAUGUCGCAGCUAAUAUAUAUUAUACAAGUCGCCACUAAAAGCUACUCAACUAUAGCGAAUGCAAAUCGCCACUAAAGGUCAUUCGAGGCAAGUUUUGAGCUUCAGUAGUGACUUAGUUGGCACAAAAGCCCUCAUUUCUUGUAGUGCAAUUAGACAAGGUAAGGUCAGAGACAACUAAAAGAACCAUCAACAGUCAAAGACAUGACACUCAGCUGCACCCACGACUUUUAUGCACAUGGACAUGAAUUUUCAAGAAUCUCAAGUCUCCAUCAAAAUUGGGGAAGAGACCAAAGACUUCAAAAUGCCUUUGGGAGUUCCGGUACCGACCAAACAAAUAUAUCCACUAAGCCAGAUCAAACUACGAGUAUCGAAAUAGUCCAAAAUGCCAGUUGCUUGGGAAGCCAUUUUGAUAGAAGAUAUUCUACAAGGAUAAUUUCACUUAAGUUAGUCUUUGAUGAGCUAAAAGAUCAUGGAGAUGUUAAUUAUUUGUUGUUAAACUUAUCACCAAUUGGACUUCUGAUACUUUUUUGGGUGACCCAGAAACUCAUGUGGCGCCAACCCUUACUGCAGCCUAUAAAGGAAGCGAAGCUCUUAAAAGUGAAUUAGAUAACAUCCUUGUUGCUAAAUAACUAAAGAUCAGAAUGCAUCUAUUUUCAUUCCUUCUCUCAUUUAACAAUAUGGAAAGAAUGCAUGAUGUUGGUUGGGCCCGACAAUGAAGAUUUGAGCAAUUAUCCUUUUGGUGUACUGGAUGUUGCAGGCAAGCGCACACAAUAAUAGCAACAUAAUUUUUACAAUAUUAGCAAUAAAUUUUGGCAUAUUCGAAUAUAACAGAUCCAAAUGGAGUGAAAUAGUUGUUGUAAUUUGUUGUGUAGAAAAAUGCACAUGCAUAAAUCAAUGGGUGGUAUGCUAGAGAAAACAUACACCACUCACCUCCUCCCACCCCACCCCACACACCCCAAAAAAAAAACACGCCGGUCAGUGCAAGAAAAACCCCCACUAGGGACAAGGUAAUCCUAAGAGGGCACAAACAUUGCAAGUUUGUAUAUACUUAGCAUAAUCAUAUUGCAUAUAUAGGCAUUGUAAGUAACAAGGGAGAAGAGCAUAUUAAAAAAUUUACCUUUACCGACAGAUGGUUUCUUAAGCCUGCAAAAUCUAAUACGUCUGUCUCCAUUAAUUCCCCACCACGCCGAUGUUUGAAAGGUCUUUAGAGCAUCAGUUGUAGCAUCAUCAGCAUCUCUGGCUUGAAAGGUGAUACGACACCAAAACCCAGCAGCAAGUGAUGUGUUNN
rnacentral:lncRNA from 1 species